AUGAAAUGAAUCCACCUCUUGUCAUUCUCCUCGGACUCUUGAUCACCGGAGGCUUAAGUUUUCUCCUGCUCCUCCUGUUGCUGUUCUUCUGCUGCAGAUGGCAUAAGGGUGCAGUUCAGCAGAGGAGGACAAUAAUCAUAAAGCAACAAGAAGAGGUCCCAAAUCAUGAGGAAUCUCACAUGGAAAGCUCGUCACCAAGGACGGUAUCAACAAUUUAUGCAAGGAUUGGAGCGGACACUGGGCAGAGGCAGCGCAGAUGAGAGUCACUGACUAAAUAUGCCUCUACAAGCUUCUCUUAACAGCAACUGUAACCCCAACAUGUGGAGCUGAUUUUAGACAUAAUCAGCAUAUGCAGUUACUCUGGGAGCCAUGCAGUUCAGGAGUGCUGCUGUAAAUAAUCAAAUUAUCCUAUUUAAUUGGAACGGCACAGAAAUGGCAAUAUUGCUUAGAUGGUUUUUCCAGACUUCCCAACUCUUCAGAAGAGUGUAUUCUACACAUGGAAAUGGAUGAUGGAUUAAAUCCAAACCCACUGAUGUCACUUAUCUUUGUGAACUCAGGACUCAUCUGUUUUAGGUGCAGCUUGAGGCACUGAAACCUGUAGAUUAUCAUUAUUGUCUCUUCGUACUGGAGUAGAGCCUGGAAGCCCCAGUCAGGGAUCAGGAUACCAUUGUGCCAAGCAAUGUACAAACACAACAUAAAGAUGGUUCCAGCCCCAAAGCAUAUGGGACAUCUUAAGCACUAAUAUGUUUUCCAUUGACAUGUACCCUGGGUGUCCCUGCUCCACUACCUCUCUGGGUGCCUAUGAUAUGUAGUAUGUGUAGCAUUUGGACUUUCAAGAAUCAUGCUAAGCAAUCCUCUCCGUAAGGAAGGGUUUUUGUUUCUAAGUCUUGUUACACCAUCUAUAUGAGACUUACUUGACAGAUGACGCUUUAAGAAAUCCAGCUACCAUACAUCGUUCCACAUUCUUCCUGUUGAAAAUUCUCC